UACGGACGGGGCAAGCGUUGUUCGGAAUCAUUGGGCGUAAAGGGCGCGUAGGUGGUUCUGUAUGUCUACCGUGAAAGCAUACAGCUCAACUGUAUUUUGUCAGUAGAAACUGCAGGACUUGAGGCUGGGAGGGGCUGGUGGAAUUCCCUGUGUAGCGGUGAAAUGCGUAGAGAUGGGGGAGAACACUCGUGGCGAAGGCGGCCAGCUAGACCAGUUCUGACACUGAGGCGCGACAGCGUGGGGAGCAAACAGG
rnacentral:rRNA from 1 species